AACUUGGUGUAAUAAAUAAUCUGUUGAGGUAACUGAUACAAGUAGGAUUGUCAGAUAACAUCCAUAAUCUGCUCCUGCUUCUAUCAGUUCCCUCGGCUGAUACUUAUCUAGAUUGCACACU
rnacentral:precursor_RNA from 14 species